CCGUGGGCCCGCGGACACGCCACCUGCGCAGGGACUGGUCUAGCCCGGAGUGCUUCCAGACGACCGGGGUGCGGAGCCCCGGUGGCCGGCGAGCCGAGGGCCUGCUCUGAGCCCGCAGCGGGCAGCGCCGCACCUGCCGCACCUGUGGCCCUGCGAGGGCGACGCCCGGGUCCGCCGGGGCCCGCCCUCCACGCGGGACGGCGCCCCGACCUGGUGUCCCGCACGGUCCGCACCGAAGAGCGCACGGGUUGCCUGCUUGCCUGUCUGCGCCCAAGUAAUGGAACAAACGUCAGGUUUACCUUUCACUAAAGAUGGAGAUUGUACUCCACGAGAGAGAGACAUAGACAAGUUCCUCAGCAGAGUCUUCACACAGUGUAGCUGGCAUGUCAAGGUCGACCCAGGACGUGGACCCAGAGCCCCUACACGGGCUGCAGCACCCCAGUUACCUGAGCCGCCGUGCCUGGACCGAACGUUGUCUUCUAAAGGCUCUUUUAGCAUUGUUUAAAGAUCAAAGCAUUACGAGCAGCACAACAUAUGUGGGAAGUUCAUUUCUUCUUCUGUCAAGACAUGAAGCUGAGUAAGGUGCAAAAAUAUGUCAUCUCCCAUGCGAGCGGAAGUCAUCGGAUAUCUGUUGUAGAAGAGCUAAGAGGUGGAAAGGGAUUUGUAUUUGCAGACUUGGCUUUGUGACACCCGUACUACCAGAGAGUCUAGGAGCGCCAAGGGCGGGACGUCUGUCCUCAGCUUGAUGGACAGCCUUGGCCCAGUAACUGCCGCAUCAGGACCAAGUAAGGAAGCCCCCGUCUGCCGCCAACCUGCCGCACAGACAGCCCUCCUGGCUAACUGUCCUUCUGACCCAAAGUUCAAGGGAAGAGUACAGACGUUCUGCAGAGAGCAUCUGUGGACAAGGGGAGCGUAAGGCCAUGACUCCGAGAGUGGGGCCUGAGGACCCUCCAGGCCGACUCAGGGCUGGGAGGGCGAGAGCAGAGUGCGCCCACAGUGGGGCAGGCCGCCUUGAGCUCGAGCCUUCGCCAGGCUCGGGCAGCAAAGAGCAGGCCCCGUCCAGAGGCGUGUGUGUGGGUGCACUGACACCGAUGUGGGCACACAGACCUACUGCACUGAACGUUCACCGGACGUACUUGAAGCUAACAGAAAAGAAAGCGCCGUGUUUGGGCUUUGUCAGCAGACCUGGAGGAAGUGCUUCAUGGAGCCCCUCUAGCCCCCCCAGACGGGAAGGGACUGUUGAUUGUGCCAGGUGUUACACAGGCGUCGAGUGAGCACAAGACUCCUGGGCGCAGUGACAUUCAGCCAUCCUGGAUCCUGCCUCCGACCACGGCCCGCUCAGGAGUCCUACCUCAGGAGCAAGCUCUGGUUCCCGAGUUCCUGGCCCUUCUCUGUUUUAAUUUUCCGAACAGUGACACAGUGGAGAUCUGAUUUGGUGAGCGGACUCCUUAGAGAGCUCUGUCUGCUGUUUAUUAGCUUGUGAUGAAAAACAACUCUGCAGAAACACAAAGUGUGUUCCACUCCGAUGUCUGAGAUAGAGUCUAGGUUCAUAGAAACUCAUUUAAAAAAAGAUAUUUCAAAAAGGCAGUAGCAACUCAAGCUGGUCUUGACAGAGAAUUAGGGUUGCUUUAGCAGGUGCACUGAAGUUUUGUUUUUUUCCUUUUUUUAUCACAAGUUAGGCAGCCCAAAUGUAAUUUUUAAUAUGCCAGUGCACUGUGCGGUGCUCCCGUCAAUCAUAACAGGGUACUGUCACAGUAAAGAAAGGGCGAGGGAUUGAACGGAGCGGAAUUUAUUAAAGUACGUGGACGCAGACGCCAGUGCUGCAUGCAGAGCUCAAGUCUGUAAAACGCUCUCACGUCUAUCAGAUAAGACAAGGCAUUUACUUUCUGCUUCCCAAAUGUUUAAAAAUACAUACAAUUUAUUGGACAAAAUCAUACUGCUUUUUCAACUGCUUUUAUUAUUUUUAUUUCUGUAGUUUUUGCU